GACGAACGCUGGCGGCGUGGAUUAGGCAUGCAAGUCGAACGGUAGGAUACCUUCGGGUAUCUGAGAGUGGCGAACGGGUGAGUAACACGUAGGUGAUCUACCCUCAAGAUUGGGACAACCCAGGGAAACUUGGGCUAAUACCGGAUGAAAGCAGCAGUGAUGUUGUUUGAAAGGUGGCGUAAGCUGCCGUUUGGGGAUGAGCCUGCGCUCUAUUAGUUAGUUGGCGGGGUAAAGGCCCACCAAGGCGAUGAUAGAUAGGCGGCCUUAACGGGUGGUCGCCCACACUGGGAUUGAGAUGCGGCCCAGACUCCUACGGGAGGCAGCAGUCGAGAAUAGUCUACAAUGGCCGAAAGGCUGAUAGUGCGACGCCGCGUGAACGAAGAAGCCCUUCGGGGUGUAAAGUUCUUUUAUAUGUGAGCAGUGCUUUCUAUGUGAACAGCAUGGGGAGAGAGAUAUUAGCAUAUGAAUAAGCAACGGCUAACUCCGUGCCAGC
rnacentral:rRNA from 1 species